rnacentral:rRNA from 1 species
CCUGAGAGGGGAUCCCCCACACUGGUACUGAGACACGGACCAGACUCUACGGGAGGCAGCAGUGAGGAAUAUUGGACAAUGGUCGGAAGACUGAUCCAGCCAUGCCGCGUGCAGGAUGACUGCCCUAUGGGUUGUAAACUGCUUUUGUACGAGAAGAACACCCUCUUCGUGAAGAGGACUGACGGUAUCGUACGAAUAAGGACCGGCUAACUCCGUGCCAGCAGCCGCGGUAAUACGGAGGGUCCGAGCGUUAUCCGGAAUCAUUGGGUUUAAAGGGUCCGUAGGCGGGCUAUUAAGUCAGAGGUGAAAUUGUGCAGCUCAACUGUAGAACUGCCUUUGAUACUGAUAGUCUUGAGUUAUGGUGAGGUAGCCGGAACAUGUGGUGUAGCGGUGAAAUGCAUAGAUAUCACAUAGAACGCCGAUUGCGAAGGCAGGUUACCAACCAUAUACUGACGCUGAUGGACGAAAGCGUGGGGAGCGAACGGGAUUAGAUACCCCGGUAGUCCACGCCGUAAACGAUGGAUACUAGCUGUUGGGUUUUCGGACUCAGCGGCCAAGCGAAAGUGAUAAGU